GAGCUUUGGGCCCACUAGAGGGAAACACAUGACAGGCAGCCUUUAUUGAAUCCCAGGUCACAGAGGGAGGGGUGCAUUGUUAUGUGCAGGGGCAGCGGGGUGAAACAGGCGGAAGGUGGAUGCUGACCAGAGCAGGUGAGGAGCCUCAAGGGACAUCACAAGGAGACCUGUAGCUCCAGGGGCCAGGAGAGCCAGCAGAAUCAGCGUCAAAGGCAAGGUGUGGACCGGCAGCAGGGACACCAUCCUGGGCUGGGAGGGGACAGCGCUGGCAGGCUGGGGCUUCGGCAGGCCAGUGAGGCCCUGCCCCCAGGGUGACACGGAUGGAACUGGCCUAAAAGACCCACGCUUGGAGCUGCCAGAAGGCUUGUUUAACCACCAGAAGAGCUGGCAUCAGAACCCACGUCUGUCUGUUAUACCCGUUUCUCACACCGCAGUGCCACUCUUCUGUCACCCAGCCAGUCAGGCAAACAUGCCCGCUCCACAGGCCUGCAGACCUCCGAUGGCAACUACUGUCCUUGUGUUGACAGAGCUGCCAUCGAGCUUUCCGGAGGUCACUUUGUACCUCAAGUUUUUCACAUUGAAAAUUCUUUCUUUACCCAGAUGAUCUAGCAAGAUAUGAUGGUGUAAAAAUGCCUAUAAAAUAAAGAUACAGAAUGAAUUCUGAA